UACGGAGGGUGCGAGCGUUGUCCGGAUUUAUUGGGUUUAAAGGGUGCGUAGGUGGCUAUUUAAGUCAGUGGUGAAAUACAGCCGCUCAACGGUUGAGGUGCCAUUGAUACUGAUUAGCUUGAAAUAAUUGGAGGCUGCCGGAAUGGAUGGUGUAGCGGUGAAAUGCAUAGAUAUCAUCCAGAACACCGAUUGCGAAGGCAGGUGGCUACGAUUUAUUUGACACUGAGGCACGAAAGCAUGGGGAGCAAACAGG
rnacentral:rRNA from 1 species